rnacentral:lncRNA from 1 species
CAGCUCCGCCCCGCGCCGGGCUCUAGCUGUUUCCCUCAGGCGGCCUGUUCCACGCCAGGAUUAGUUUUGCUUCGCAGAUGGGCCGUGGUGGUGAGAGGAAGCAAUCAGUAUGGAAAUGGAGAAAUGGCUUACCAUGCAUGUCCUUCUCCCCAGGAGGGAGGUCGUGGUGCAGGCGAGCAGACGCCAGACUCCUGGACACUUGCCGCCUGCGUUAUGGAGGCUUAGCUAAUAACCUUGCAGGGGUCUUCAGGCUUUUCCACUGGCUCACCUUUAGGCUUCUGACACUUUUACCUACGAUUGAAAAAAGACGAGAUUCCAUGAGACUAGAAAUGUAGGAGCAUCUCAGACCUUCACAGAACGCUCUGUUAGAAGAUGAGAAACAUAACGUUGCUUGUGAGAGGUGAAGCCAGCUGGACUUCCUGGGUCGAGUGGGGACUUGGAGAACUUUUCUGUCUAGCUAAAGGAUUAUAAGUGCACCAAUCAGCACUCUGUAAAAACACACCAGUCAGCGCUCUGUGUCUAGCUAAAGGAUUGUAAAUGCACCAAUCAGCACUCUGUAAAAUGGACCAAUCAGUACCCUGUAAAAUGGACCAAUCAGCAGGACGUGGGCAGGGACAAAUAAGGGAAUAACAGCUGGCGCCCCUAGCCAGCAGUGGCAACCCACUCGGAUCACCUUCCAUGCUGUGGAAGCUUUGUUAUUUCACUUUUCACAAUAAAUCUUAGGGUUGCUUACUUUUUGGGUCCAUGCCACCUUGAAGAGCUGUAACACUCACCACGAAGGUCUGAGGCUUCAUUCUUGAAGUCAGACUAAGAACCCACCGGAAGGAACCAAUUCCAGACACACGUGUAGUAGCAAAUUAUCAAAAAUGUUCAUUGCCUUUUCUGAAAAACAAUUUUCCCAGAAACACCUGGCAGAAUCAGAGUUCAUUGUGUCAAAAGAAAAACUUUGGACAAAUUAAAAUGAGCAAAGAACAAUUUGUGAAAUGUGCCCCUCUCCCAACCAGAACAGGUUCAAAGAGACUCCAGUGCUGCCACAUGAUCAAAGAAUUAUGGACAAAAAAAGCAAAUAAAUUACAGGAAAAGAAAAUGAGAUAAUGCAGUAGUUACUUUUUGAAGGACGACCGAAGCAGGAUAUUUCCCUGACCCCUUCAUGGGACCCACGUCAGAGGUGUUUACUCAGCCUGCUGCCCACAACUCCUCACAGGAGGGAGCGCACAAGUGAACGAGGGUGAGGACUGGAGAGCACCAGCACUGGAACAACCCGGCCACUUCGGCGCUACUGGGAUCAAACUCCAUCACUUGGACACACUGUGUUCCACCCCUCGUGGGAGGGAGCAUGCAGGUGAGAGGAUGCAGGAGUCAGGGUGAGCACUUUUGGGCUCCAGCAGGAGCAAACUCUGUGCAGGGCCCUGCAGCAGUGACUGAGGGGCGGCCUGUGACUCCCAAAGCCCCAGAGGACAUGCUACAGUGCUCUUUUAGCUCUACCAUCCGUAGGUGGCUUAAGUGUAAACAGCUCAGUGGGCCCUUUGCCUUUUUGCGUGAGGCAGCUGCCCUAGGCAAGAGUAAAGGGCCAGUGUCACAGCCUUCUGUAUCUGCACUCAUGACUCCUGAGCUCUUGUCCUGCAUUCAGGGAAAAUGAGGUUACACAAAAGAAUUCACAGAUGGUAAAUGCGGGGUAUUUUAUUCCCAGUGAAAGUGGCUCUCAGCAGGAAGGAGAGCAGAAAAGGGGAUGGGCUGGGUAGGUAACCUUCCCCUGAAGUCCUGCCAUCUCUGGCUGGAUUUUUCUCCAAAGUUACACCAUCAAAAUGUCCCUCUGAAAUCAAGCCACUUCUCUCUGACAUCCAGCCGUAGUCCCUCACGUCCAGUUGCUUCUCCUCUCUGCUGGCUGAGUCUGUGGUCUUUAUAGCACAGGAUGGCGGGCAGGGUGGGCCAUGGGUAAUUUAGGAAAAAGCAACAUUUGAGCAGACAAAAGGGAGAGAAGUUCUCUACUUUGGGCUGCGGUUUCAGGCUUUUUGGCUUGAGGGUGGGGUUUUGUCAGGGACCCUCCCUUUUCUGCCUAAAAUUUCUCUGCCUCCUGCCUCUAUCACUGUAUCACUAGUUUGAAGUAAACCCAUCUGGAAUUACUGAUUUUAACAAAUCACACAGAAUUUCAAGCACCUUUCUAUGCAAAUGACUUGUGAAGACAUAGAGUAUAGUAUGCCGUUAACAAACAGCCCAGCAGUGUGCCUUGCACCUUGUAGGUGUACAAAAUAUUAAGUCAAUUUUAUAAUUGAAGGAGGUAAUUUUAAAAUGCUACAUCCAUGUUGUGUAAUUUUAUUCAUUGGUCAUUUUAAAUAAAAACAAAAGCCAGAAUAAACCAUAUAUAUUGUACUUGUUAGUUUAUUCAAGGAAAUUUAGGUCAAAAGAAGCACACCUCCUUGUGGUUAGUUAUUCCAACUGCAAAUCAUUCACCUUAAAAUGAAAGAACAUGGCUAUAGGAGCUUUUUGCAAAUAUGUUCUUCACUGAUGAUUUUCUAAAAUGUAUAUAUCAAAUCCCCCAG